ACCCGGGCGAUUAAGCCAAGGUCUGCAUCACACCCGGGCGAUUAAGCCAAGGUCCGCAAUGAUUAUCCCACCCGGGCGAUCAAGCCAAGGUCCGCAUCCCACCCAGGAGAUUAUGCCAAGGUCCGCAUCCCACCCGGGCGAUUAAGCCAAGGUCUGCAAUUAUUAUCCCACCCGGGCGAUCAAGCCAAGGUCCACAUCCCACCCGGGCGAUUAAGCCAAGAUCAGCAAUCAUUAUCCCACCCGGGCAAUCAAGCCAAGGUCCGCAUCCCACCCGGGCGAUUAAGCCAAGGUCAGCAAUCAUUAUCCCACCCUGGCAAUCAAGCCAAGGUCCGCAUCCCACCCGAGCUAUCAAGCCAAGGGCCACAUCCCACCCCGGCAAUCAAGCUAAGGUCCGCAUCCCACCAGAGCAAUCAAGCCAAGGGCCACAUCCCACCCCGGCAAUCAAGCUAAGGUCCGCAUCCCACCAGAGCAAUCAAGCCAAGGGCCACAUCCCACCCCGGCAAUCAAGCUAAGGUCCACAUCCCACCAGAGCAAUCAAGCCAAGGGCCACAUCCCACCCCGGCAAUCAAGCUAAGGUCCGCAUCCCACCAGAGCAAUCAAGCCAAGGGCCAUAUCCCACCCUUGCAAUCAAGCUAAGGUCCGCAUCCCACCCGGGCAAUCAAGCCAAGGUCAACAUCCCACCCGGGCAAUCAAGCCAAGGUCAGCGAUCAUUAUCCCACCCGGGCAGUUAAGCCAAGGUCAGCAUCCCACCCGGACAGUCAAGCCAGGGUCAGCAACCCUCCCCAUUCCUCCGAGCUUGGGACCGGCUCUUAGUUGGGCUGGCUUGCCCCCCAAGAGGCUGGGUUAACAGUUUUGUUCCCCCUUUCUUCACCUCUUU